ensembl:lncRNA
CCCCAACUAAUGGGGAUCCAUAAUAAACCCCAGGAAGAGUAGCUGCUGCCUUGGCAGGAACUAAUGGGGAUCCAUAAUAAACCCCAGGAAGAGUAGCUGCUGCCUUGGCAGGAACUAAUGGGGAUCCAUAAUAAACCCCAGGAAGAGUAGCCGCUGCCUUGGCAGGAACUAAUGGGGAUCCAUAAUAAACCCCAGGAAGAGUAGCUGCUGCCUGCUCAGGUUACUAAAGUGGAUCCACAAUAAACCCCAGGAAGAGUAGCUGCUGCCUUGGCAGGAACUAAUGGGGAUCCAUAAUAAAUACUAAUUGAUGUGAUGUACAUAAUAACAUGGAUGCAAAUAGACCAUAGAUAUGCAUGUUGGGAAAAUAUUUAAAACAUUUCACUCACAAUGAUGGAGUGAGCUGUAAUUCUAAAUACAUCCACAAUUAAUAUUUUCUCUAAGCGUCUGAUUGCUUGACAGCUGGCGAUCAGCUCUGCGUGAGCCCAACGUGUGUGUGUGUGUGUGUGGGUGUGUAUCACUGCUGCAUGCUGGGUAGACCUCGUUUCCAACGCCAUAUAAACAAAAGGUUAAUGAGGCUUCGCUGCUUUUUGUUUAUCCUUUCAGCAGAUGCCAACAGAUUACACACACACACACACACACACACACACACACACACACACACACGAAGGCUCAUAAACAAAUGUACACACACACACGUGCGCGCACACACACACAGACGAGCGCGCGCACACACACACACACGAACGCACACACACAUACACACAAAGGCUCAUAAACAAACGCACACACACACACACACACACACACACAGGAAGGCUCAUAAACAAAAGCACACACACACACGAGCGCACACACACACACACACACACACACACACACACACGCACACACAUAUACACGAAGGCUCAUAAACAAACGCACACACACACACGAACGCAGGCACACACACGGCGUGCUCACACAGAGUGGAUCUGCAUGAAACUCGGGCCCCUAAUCAUUGGAAGCCCGUGUGUUGUGUUUUAGCCAAGCAGCUCGUAUCCAGUGUGACCAUUCUUCUAUGUAAUUACGUCCGUUCAUGGAUGGAUAUUGGCUACUUCCUGACGGAAAUAAAUACCUUUUAAGUCUCAAUCCUGUUCUCUUGUUUUUUGCAUAUAAUCGUGGUUUGAUUUAUUAAUUUGAUAGAUAUGCAUCAAUUUAGACAUUUGAUUAUUAAUGAUAAAGUAAUCAAAUCAAAUGGAGAUGUCUGUACCGUGGACGUUUUCAUGUAUCAGUUUUAUCUGUAUCAGUUUAUCUGUAUCAGUUUAUCUUUUAAUUUGUAUCUGUAUCAGUUUAUCUGUAUCAGUUUAAUCUGUAUCUUUAUCAGCUUUGUGGAUGUUUUCACGGAUGUCCAUGCGUUCCUGAUCGUCCUGUAGUUGAGGCCGUCCAUAUUGGCAGAUACACAUAUCAUUACAUAUUACAACUAUUGAAUGGACAUUGGGAUCCCAGUAACAUACCUGCAAAUCAUUCAUCUUUGUAAAGGGAAUUUAAGAUGAUCUCUGUGCAGGUUUGUAUAUCAUAUGAUCAUCAUGGGAGACUGUGUAGUAAUUUUACUGUUUCCUUUGGAUAAGAUGUUACAACUCAACAAAGCCACAAUGUCAGGUCAUUUCUGUGCCAGUCACAAACUGUUUAGAGAUGAUUAAAUACUGCCCUCUGGUGGGGGAGAUUAUGAAACAACACCCAUCGUGCAUCACUGUAUUGAGAGGGUUAUAAUAGUGAAAUAAUCAUGUCUUGACAUGAACUCAUUCCUAUUGGCUAGUACUGUGUUCUAGAAGUGUUCUAGAAGUGUUCUGUUAUGAAGGAUUGGCCAUUGACCUGACAAGUGCUGUUUUACAUUUUUUUUUUGUAUCUAUGACAACAUUGCGGCUCAGGGACACACCGCCCGCUGAGCACAGACGUCAGUCCAACGUCUAUUCCACGUUCGUACAAUGUAAUGUCAUUGAAUAAGGUGUAAACAACGUUGAUUCAACCAGUGUGUGCCCAGAGGGUAGUUAAAUGUUCUUCAUUUACGCCUUAACCGAGUGUUGGAGUCCUUUAUUAAAACUAAAACAUUUUAAAAAACAUAUUUUUUUU